rnacentral:tRNA from 1 species
GCAUUGAUGUUGUAGUGGUAACAUUGGGUCUUAUAAUCGAUAAGUGUUGAAGCAAUGAUAGUGAUCUAGUUCUGGGUUCAACUCCCAGUCAGUGCA